rfam:Rubella virus isolate 5586-ITA95 E1 protein (E1) gene, partial cds.
UACUUGCGCGGCGCUAUAGCGCCGCGCUAGUGGGCCCCCGCGCGAAACCCGCAC